rnacentral:rRNA from 1 species
GACGAACGCUGGCGGCGUGCUUAACACAUGCAAGUCGAACGGAAAGGCCUCUUUCGGGGGGUACUCGAGUGGCGAACGGGUGAGUAACACGUGAGUAACCUGCCCUUGACUUUGGGAUAACUUCAGGAAACUGGGGCUAAUACCGGAUAGGAGCUCCUGCUGCAUGGUGGGGGUUGGAAAGUUUCGGCGGUUGGGGAUGGACUCGCGGCUUAUCAGCUUGUUGGUGGGGUAGUGGCUUACCAAGGCUUUGACGGGUAGCCGGCCUGAGAGGGUGACCGGCCACAUUGGGACCGAGAUACGGCCCAGACUCCUACGGGAGGCAGCAGUGGGGAAUAUUGCACAAUGGGUGGAAGCCUGAUGCAGCAACGCCGUGUGCGGGAUGACGGCCUUCGGGUUGUAAACCGCUUUCGCUCAUGACGAAGCUUUGUGUGACGGUAGUGGGGAAAGAAGCACCGGCUAACUACGU